rnacentral:rRNA from 1 species
CCUACGGGUGGCAGCAGUGAGGAAUAUUGGUCAAUGGACGCGAGUCUGAACCAGCCAAGUAGCGUGAGGGAAGACUGUCCUAUGGAUUGUAAACCUCUUUUAUCUGGGAGUAAAAGGUUCCACGCGUGGCGUUCCGUGAGUACCAUAAGAAUAAGCAUCGGCUAACUCCGUGCCAGCAGCCGCGGUAAUACGGAGGAUGCGAGCGUUAUCCGGAUUUAUUGGGUUUAAAGGGUGCGAAGGCGGAUGAUUAAGUCAGCGGUAAAAUUAUGAGGCUAAACCUCUUAGAGCAGUUGAAAAUGGUAUUCUUGAGUGCGUGAGAGGUAUGCGGAAUGCGUGGUGUAGCGGUGAAAUGCAUAGAUAUCACGAAGAACUCCGAUUGCGAAGGCAGCUUAC